rnacentral:hammerhead_ribozyme from 1 species
CUUUGACUGAAGAGACACAACUAGGUCGAAACAUUACUGUCUCAAAG